AUUGAACGCUGGCGGCAUGCCUUACACAUGCAAGUCGAACGGCAGCACGGGAGCUUGCUCCUGGUGGCGAGUGGCGAACGGGUGAGUAAUACAUCGGAACGUACCCAGGAGUGGGGGAUAACGUAGCGAAAGUUACGCUAAUACCGCAUAUUCUGUGAGCAGGAAAGCGGAGGAUCGCAAGACCUCGCGCUCUUGGAGCGGCCGAUGUCGGAUUAGCUAGUUGGUGAGGUAAAAGCUCACCAAGGCGACGAUCCGUAGCAGGUGUGAGAGGAUGAUCUGCCACACUGGGACUGAGACACGGCCUAGACUCCUACGGGAGGCAGCAGUGGGGAAUUUUGGACAAUGGGGGCAACCCUGAUCCAGCCAUGCCGCGUGAGUGAAGAAGGCCUUCGGGUUGUAAAGCUCUUUCGGCGGGGAAGAAAUGGCAACGGCUAAUAUCCGUUGUUGAUGACGGUACCCGCAUAAGAAGCACCGGCUAACUACGUGCCAGCAGCCGCGGUAAUACGUAGGGUGCGAGCGUUAAUCGGAAUUACUGGGCGUAAAGCGUGCGCAGGCGGUUUCGUAAGACAGACGUGAAAUCCCCGGGCUCAACCUGGGAACUGCGUUUGUGACUGCGAGGCUAGAGUACGGCAGAGGGGGGUAGAAUUCCACGUGUAGCAGUGAAAUGCGUAGAGAUGUGGAGGAAUACCGAUGG
rnacentral:rRNA from 1 species